AUGAACGCUUGCGGCGCGCCUAAAACAUGCAAGUCGAACGAACCCAAUCUUCGGAAAGGGUUAGUGGCAGACGGGUGAGUAACACGUGGGUGACCUGCCCUAGAGUGGGGGAUAACUACCCGAAAGGGUGGCUAAUACCGCAUACGCUUACUGAUUCAUUUCAGCAAGUAAAACUACGGUGCUCUGGGAGGGGCCCGCGGCCGAUUAGCUAGUUGGUGAGGUAAUGGCCCACCAAGGCUCUGAUCGGUAGCUGGUCUGAGAGGAUGAUCAGCCACACUGGCACUGAGACACGGGCCAGACUCCUACGGGAGGCAGCAGUUAGGAAUAUUGGACAAUGGGCGAAAGCCUGAUCCAGCGACGCCGCGUGGGUGAUGAAGGCCUUCGGGUCGUAAAGCCCUUUUCUGGGGGAAGAGGAAGGACGGUACCCCAGGAAUAAGUCUCGGCUAACUACGU
rnacentral:rRNA from 1 species